GUAUUACUGAUGAGACCUAAACAGAUCAAAACAGCUGUCCAAUGC
rnacentral:hammerhead_ribozyme from 1 species